rnacentral:rRNA from 1 species
UACGUAGGUGGCGAGCGUUGUCCGGAUUUACUGGGCGUAAAGAGCGCGCAGGCGGUCGUGUAAGUCGAAUGUGAAAGCCCCCGGCUCAACUGGGGAGGGUCAUUCGAUACUGCUCGACUUGAAGGCAGGAGAGGGAAGCGGAAUUCCCGGUGUAGUGGUGAAAUGCGUAGAUAUCGGGAGGAACACCAGUGGCGAAGGCGGCUUUCUGGCCUGUUCUUGACGCUGAGGCGCGAAAGCUAGGGGAGCAAACGGG